CGAAUUGCGAUAAGUAAUGUGAAUUGCAGAAGUGAAUCAUCGAAUCUUUGAACGCACCUUGCGCUCCCGGCAGAUCUAAUCUGGGGAGCAUGCCUGUUUGAGGGCCGCGAAUUGUUUCGAACGACAGCUUUCUUCUUUGCGAGAAAGUUGGCGGAUCGGUAUUGAGGGUUUUUUUUGCCAUUUUACCAUGGCUCCCUCGAAAUGCAUUAGCGCAUCCAUUUGAUAGGCAAGACGGACGAAAGCUUGAAUUUCGCCCUCUUUUCCCUGCCGGGUUUUGAUAAUAUCAGGACUUCGGAGGCGAAGAGAUGGGUUAGAGCUGGACGCAACGUUUUGCUGGUUGGAGUGCUUCUGAACCCCGCCCAUGCCUUUGUAAAAAAAAGGAAGGGAUUUUUCAAUUCAUCGGCCUCAGAUUGGUAGGACUACCCGCUGAACUUAAGCAUAUCAAUAAGCGGAGGAAAAGAAACUAACAAGGAUUCCCCUAGUAACGGCGAGUGAAGAGGGAAGAGCCCAAGAUUGAAAGCUGGCGUCUUCGGCGUCCGCAUUGUAAUCUCAAGAAGUGUUUUCCGCUUCGGACCAUGCCUAAGUCCCUUGGAAAAGGGCAUCAUAGAGGGUGAUAAUCCCGUACAUGGCAUGGAGCGCCCGAAGCUUUGUGAUACGCUUUCUAAGAGUCGAGUUGUUUGGGAAUGCAGCUCAAAAUGGGUGGUAAAUGCCAUCUAAGGCUAAAUAUUGGGGAGAGACCGAUAGCGAACAAGUACAGUGAUGGAAAGAUGAAAAGAACUUUGAAAAGAGAGUUAAACAGUACGUGAAAUUGCCAAAAGGGAAGGGUAGGAGGUCAGAGAUGCGGCCUGGGAUUCAGCCUUGCUUUUGCUUGGUGUUUUUCCCAGGUUGCAGGCCAACGUCGGUUUUGGGCACUGGAGAAGGGUAGGAGGAACGUGGCACCCCUCGGGGUGUGUUAUAGCCUCCUACUGGAUACAGCGACCGAGACCGAGGACAGCAGCGUACUCGCAAGAGCGGGCCUUCGGGCACCUUUACGCUUAGGGC
rnacentral:rRNA from 1 species